GGAAGAACGCAGCGAAAUGCGAUACUUGGUGUGAAUUGCAGAAUCCCGUGAACCAUCGAGUCUUUGAACGCAAGUUGCGCCCGAAGCCUCGGCUAAGGGCACGUCUGCCUGGGCGUCACGCAUCGCGUCUCCCCCAAACCGCCAAGGCGGAGGGGAAGGAAGAUGGCUUCCCGUGCCUCACCCGGGCGCGGUUGGCCUAAAUUUGGAGCCCGCGGCACUUAGCUCUCGCGGCGAUAGGUGGUGAACAAGGCCUUGGCCGUGCAAACAACCCGCUGCGAAGCUCUAUGUCACGUGCGCUCGUCGGACCCUUUGAAGUUGCCUUUGGUGACUUAAAACCUUUGCGACCCCAGGUCAGGCGGGGCUACCCGCUGAAUUUAAGCAUAUCAAUAAGCGGAGGA
rnacentral:misc_RNA from 1 species